CUAGCCAAGGCGGACGGGUGGGUAACGCGUAAGGAACUUGCCCUGCAGUCAGGGAUAACAGACGGAAACGACUGAUAAGACCUGGUAAAGUCAGGCGGACUCAUGUCCAGCCUGAUGAAAAGAGAUGCUGCAGGAGAGCCUUGCGUCCUAUUAGCUUGUUGGUGGGGUAACGGCCCACCAAGGCGAUGAUAGGUAGCCGGCCUGAGAGGGUGGACGGCCACAAGGGGACUGAGAUACGGCCCUUACUCCUACGGGAGGCAGCAGUGGGGAAUAUUGGACAAUGGGGGCAACCCUGAUCCAGCAAUUCUGUGUGCACGAUGAAGGUUUUCGGAUUGUAAAGUGCUUUCAGCAGGGAAGAAAAAAAUGACGGUACCUGCAGAAGAAGCGACGGCUAAAUACGUGCCAGCAGCCGCGGUAAUACGUAUGUCGCAAGCGUUAUCCGGAAUUAUUGGGCAUAAAGGGCAUCUAGGCGGCCAGAUAAGCCUGGGGUGAAAACUUGCGGCUCAACCGCAAGCCUGCCCUGGAAACUAUGUGGCUAGAGUACUGGAGAGGUGGACGGAACUGCACGAGUAGAGGUGAAAUUCGUAGAUAUGUGCAGGAAUGCCGAUGAUGAAGAUAGUUCACUGGACGGUAACUGACGCUGAAGUGCGAAAGCUAGGGGAGCAAACAGGAUUAGAUACCCUGGUAGUCCUAGCUGUAAACGAUGAUUACUGGGUGUGGGCAUGAAGAGUGUCCGUGCCGAA
rnacentral:rRNA from 1 species